GAGUUUGAUCCUGGCUCAGGACGAACGCUGGCGGCGUGCUUAACACAUGCAAGUCGAACGAGGCAGCGGCCUUCGGGCCGUUGUCGAGUGGCGAACGGGUGAGUAACACGUGAGGAACCUGCCCCGGAGACCGGUAUAACCAGGGGAAACUCUGGCUAAUACCGGAUGCCCCCGGAUGGUCGCAUGGCCAACCGAGGAAACGCUCCGGUGCUCCGGGAGGGCCUCGCGGUCUAUCAGCUUGUUGGUGGGGUAACGGCCUACCAAGGCAUCGACGGGUAACUGGUCUGAGAGGACGAUCAGUCACACUGGUACUGAGACACGGCCCAGACUCCUACGGGAGGCAGCAGUGGGGAAUAUUGCGCAAUGGGCGAAAGCCUGACGCAUCAACGCCGCGUGGGGGAUGAAUGCCUUCGGGUUGUAAACCCCUUUCAGCAGGGACGAAAAUGACGGUACCUGCAGAAGAAGCCCCGGCCAACUACGUGCCAGCAGUCCGCGGUAACACGUAGGGGGCAAGCGUUGUCCGGAUUUAUUGGGCGUAAAGAGCUCGUAGGCGGUUGCGUAAGUCGGAUGUGAAAACUCAGGGCUCAACCCGGAGACGCCAUCCGAUACUGCGCUGACUAGAGUCCGGUAGAGGAGCAUGGAAUUCCUGGUGUAGCGGUGAAAUGCGCAGAUAUCAGGAGGAACACCAGUGGCGAAGGCGGUGCUCUGGGCCGGCACUGACGCUGAGGAGCGAAAGCGUGGGUAGCGAACAGGAUUAGAUACCCUGGUAGUC
rnacentral:rRNA from 1 species